ACACGUAGGUGGCAAGCGUUGUCCGGAUUUACUGGGCGUUAAAGGGAGCGUAGGCGGACUUUUAAGUGGGAUGUGAAAUACCCGGGCUUAACCUGGGUGCUGCAUUCCAAACUGGAAGUCUAGAGUACAGGAGGGGAAAGCGGAAUUCCUAGUGUAGCGGUGAAAUGCGUAGAGAUUAGGAAGAACACCAGUGGCGAAGGCGGCUUUCUGGACUGUAACUGACGCUGAGGCUCGAAAGCGUGGGGAGC
rnacentral:rRNA from 1 species